GCACAAUGAGAGAAUAAUUCUUCCAACAUACAAUAAUAAAUAUAUAUAUACAGCUUUCAUAUCUUCGCUUCUUUUAAUAUUGGUCUCUUUGGAUUUGUUUUUCUUUUCUUUUCUCUUUCUUUUUUGAUGGUAUGGUUAAAUCAAGGCGAAAUAAUAAGAAGAGAAGGAUAUAGAGGAUAGAUAGUACUUUUCGACUACAAUUUUUU
rnacentral:ribozyme from 14 species